GCCCCAGUGGCCUAAUGGAUAAGGCACUGUCCUCCUAAGCCAGGGAUUGUGGGUUCGAGUCCCGUCUGGGGUGA
rnacentral:tRNA from 1 species